CCUACGGGAGGCAGCAGUGAGGAAUAUUGGUCAAUGGUCGGGAGCCUGAACCAGCCAAGUAGCGUGCGGGAUGAAGGCCCUACAGGUCGUAAACCGCUUUUGCACGGGGAUAACACCCUCCACUUGUGGAGGUCUGCAGGUACCGUGCGAAUAAGGGCCGGCUAAUUCCGUGCCAGCAGCCGCGGUAAUACGGAAGGCCCGAGCGUUAUCCGGAUUCAUUGGGCUUAAAGGGAGCGUAGGCGGGCGUUCAAGUCAGCUGUAAAAUCGCGCGGCUCAACCGCGCCCCGCAGUUGAAACUGGACGCAUUGAGUUCACAACAGGCAGGCGGAAUUCGUGGUGUAGCGGUGAAAUGCAUAGAUAUCACGAGGAACCCCGAUUGCGAAGGCAGCCUGCCGGGGUGCGACUGACGCUGAGGCUCGAAGGUGCGGGUAUCAAACAGGAUUAGAUACCCUAGUAGUC
rnacentral:rRNA from 1 species